GCCCUUGCCGUGUAAAGAACGAACUCAUUCUGAAUCUGAGAAAAGAACGCCGUGUUCUUUGGGAGACCGGGUCCUCCGCCGGUUCCCAACCCGAAUUUGCUCUUCCUCUUGUGGUAUCUCACGUCGUGAUCUUGGUCGCGGGCUGGCGGCCACGGGGCAUUACACUCCCGCGCCGCCGCUCUCCUCCGGCGUGCAGCACUCCUCAUGACAGGACGCAAACGGCGUCAUCCACUCUAGGCAUCGAAGCUUCCUCAAAAUCACCUGUGCUGUCGAAUCCUUGGGGGGCAUUCCUCUCCAGAGGCAUAAGGUGUCCGAUGGAAUUGGAUUUCACCUCCAAUAAUUGAAUCGAGGACGCCGGCAUGGUAUUGGGCCACGGUCAUGGAUGAAACUGACACCGUACAGGCGCAGGUGAAGAGUAGAUAUCGCUGCAACUGAGAUCGAGUACACAUGCAGGAGUUGUUGUGUCAGUCUGUCAGAGUGUUGGUUUCGGGUCUAAUCUUCCACGGCGUCAUUGGUGUGGUAAUGAAGUUCAUUGCUAGUGCUGGUACCAUGGUGUGGAUAUCUAUCAUCGGGGAAUAGGGAUUCCCAGAUCAAUCCUGCUGCCUGACGCCUGUUCUGACUGACGAGCUUGACGUACUGCUAUAUAUAGGCAAUGAGCAGAUGCUCAGCAAAGUGCUAUGAAGCCUCCAUCUCCUGCCGCUGGCCUUGAUCUGAAACAUUCAGGCCCUUUUGCUGUAUAGGAGAGGCCAGGGCUAAAACCGGGAAGUAAACCAUGCAUGGAUCGUGGAACAGGUACAACUCGUCAAAUCUGGAGGUGUCAGUAUUUCAUAACUGUCAAUUUGAUCGAUGCAUAUCCUUGUAAGGUAUUUUUUCUUCGUUAUAGUUGUUGGAUGUUUUCAUCUUAGAAUCUCAGGUAAUGUUGUGCAAUGAUGCAUUAUUUUGUUGCAUGUGAGGCACUUGAGGAUUCCUUUUGUUAUCUGAUUGGUCUAUAUUACUUCAUGACGUAGUUGCAUACCUAUCUGUAUCCUAAACCAAGUUAUUACCAAUCAUAAUUUUCGUGUACUAGAGCUUUAUGUCCUUUAAAAAAAUGAACUGAUGUCUGUCAUACUUUCUUUUAGUUAUCCUAUCAUCAUGGUAUAAUGGCAUGCCCUUCAUGUUUUGGUUUGCUGGGGUGAUCACUUCCUACUCUUGAUUCCUUUCCUGCCCUUCCUUGCAUAAGAUGAGAUUUUCUGCUUGUCUGAGCAUUGAUCGGUCAAUAUGUACAACCAAAUGAGUGAUUUUAAUGGGUGUAUUAUCACAUACUACUGCAAACAGUAUAACUUAAAUAAGCCAAUGUCUGUACCUUUUUUUCAAGCAUUUAUUUGCGAGUACAAAUCUAAUGAUAUCCAAUUAUUCUCAUGUGGUUUUGUGGUUAAUUUGCUUCUUAGAGCUAUGAUGAUGGAAAGGUGUUAAGAAUAAAGUAAAAAAGUGAACUGGAUUAGCAGUCCCUGGUUUAUCGGUCACUGGAUGCUGAACAACCAAUUCAUCUUCGUUCUUAUGAUUGACUAUCAUUCAGCAGCUAGUUCAUAUUGUUGGUGAUGUGGUACAUCGGUGAUUCACUCACUUCAAUUGGACUGUAGCACAGUUUUUGCACCUAUGUGUUAUUAUUUACAAUUACACACAAUACAAGUUUUUUCUUCCUGUGAACAGGUGACUUUAUUACAUGCAACAUUUUCUUAUCGUAUCCUAUUGCAGGCUAGCUGUGGCAGUGAGGGCUUGUUUGGAUUGAACCCUGAAAAAGUGCUUGCGUCAAGCAGCGUCUCUAGGCCUUCAAUUUCGAGUGCCUGCAGUUUACUGUUCACUAAAAUUAGUGCUUUUAUUAGCUAAAAACUGAGAUUUACUGCUCACUAAUGAGAGAAUUUUCAAGAGCAGGGGAUGGCAAUUUUUGUGUCUCUGGUAGGAGCGGAGGCAAUGGCGUUCUUUGGUUGGAGCUGUAGCAAGAAUCGAUGGAGAAAGGUGAGGUCAUGGUGGUGAUGUUGGACCUUGAGAAUUCUGGAGAUGGAUUUAGCGUGCUGCUGCUACUGCUAUUGUGCUAUUGGAAGGAAGAAGGCUAGCUGGGUGGCUUUUCUGCUCCUGGUGCUUGCCGGCAAGAAGGAAGAGCUACUGGUUGGUGCUGCUUGGUGGAGACAAGAACAGAGGAGAAUUGAACUCCCAUAAAUGAUUCAUUUUGAUUAACUGGAGCUGGGAUCGGAGUAGUAAUAGCAUAACUUGAAGCUGGGAGUGGUACUAGCAUAACUUGAAGUUUUUUCAGCAAGAGUGGCAGCCUGGCAGUCGUGAAAUCACACCAGUACAUAUCUUUGACAAGCGUGAUGCUGUUGGAUUGUUGGUCAAUCCCGGGCGUCAUUGUUCUUACUUGGGUAUUUCUGAAGACUAUGGGUUGAGGAAGUUCCUUGGUGUCGGAGUUUAUGUGGUUGGCCUUAUACUAGUUGUAUUUUUCAGACGUCCAUAUGCCUCUGAUCCAGCUAGUAAGAAUAUGCUUCUCAUGGUGUGCACCGAGUGAUUGACUGUUAUUGGGUUUUGGAAGUUUGUGCUAUUUUUCUAACGGGUAUUGCAAAUGUGACAGAUUUUUGAAUUAGUAAUCUGUCAUCUUUUGGUGGCGACGUGUUUGUUGUUCUGUCUAAGAGUCGACAGAUUUCUUGUUGCAAAAUCUGUUGCCAGAUGUAUAGAGACCAUAAGUUUUGAAAUUUUA